AACGAACGCUGGCGGCAUGCCUAACACAUGCAAGUCGAACGAAAAGUUCCUGCCUUUGUGCGCAGCUCGAGUGGCGACCGGGUGACUUACACGUGGGUUACCUAUACCUGACCGUGGGGGAACCUAAGGACGCUGAGGCUAAUACGGGCUAGGAGUUACUGCUGUUUGGUGGGGGCUGGUUGGAUUAGGUGGUUGGGGUUGGAUUGGCCGCCUAUGAGCACGUUGGUGGGGUAGUGGCUGACCAUGGCCUUGAACGGUAGGCGGCCUGAGCGGGUGACCGGCCACAUUGGGACGGAGAGACGGACCGGACUGCUACGGGAGGCAGCAGUGGGGAAUAUUGCACAGUGGGCGGGAGCCUGACGCAGCAACGCCGCGUGCGGGAUGACGGCCUUCCGGUUGGAUACCGCUUUCGCUUGUCACGGAGCGUGAGUGACGGUAAUGGGUAAAGAAGCACCGGCUAACUACGUG
rnacentral:rRNA from 1 species